rnacentral:rRNA from 1 species
AGCGGCAGGCUUAAUACAUGCAAGUUGAGGGGCAGCAUGAUAUACGCGAGUAUAUUGAUGGCGACCGGCGGACGGGUGAGUAAUAGGUAGGAGACCUACCUCAUACAGGGGGAUAGCAUAGAGAAAUCUGUGGUAAUACCCCAUGAGGUUAUAUGAAUAGAGGCAUAUAAUCAAAGCAUAAGCGAUUAUGCGGUAUGAGAGGGGCCUACUGACCAUUAGCUAGUUGGUGAGGUAAGGGCUCACCAAGGCGAAGAUGGUUAGGGGUUUGAGAGAGAGACCCCCCACAUUGGAACUGAGAUACGGUCCAGACUCCUACGGGAGGCAGCAGUAGGGAAUAUUGGGCAAUGGGCGGAAGCCUGACCCAGCCAUGCCGCGUGAAGGAAGACGGCCUUAUGGGUUGUAAACUUCUUUACUAUGCGACUAACUAGAUUUACGAGAUAAUUCUAUAGAAUGUAGCAUAGCAAAAAGCACCGGCUAACUCCGUG